rnacentral:rRNA from 1 species
GACGAACGCUGGCGGCGUGCUUAACACAUGCAAGUCGAACGAUGAACCACUUCGGUGGGGAUUAGUGGCGAACGGGUGAGUAACACGUGGGCAAUCUGCCCUUCACUCUGGGACAAGCCCUGGAAACGGGGUCUAAUACCGGAUACUGACCCUCGCAGGCAUCUGCGAGGUUCGAAAGCUCCGGCGGUGAAGGAUGAGCCCGCGGCCUAUCAGCUUGUUGGUGAGGUAAUGGCUCACCAAGGCGACGACGGGUAGCCGGCCUGAGAGGGCGACCGGCCACACUGGGACUGAGACACGGCCCAGACUCCUACGGGAGGCAGCAGUGGGGAAUAUUGCACAAUGGGCGAAAGCCUGAUGCAGCGACGCCGCGUGAGGGAUGACGGCCUUCGGGUUGUAAACCUCUUUCAGCAGGGAAGGAGCGAAAGUGACGGUACCUGCAGAAGAAGCGCCGGCUAACUACGUGCCAGCAGCCGCGGUAAUACGUAGGGCGCAAGCGUUGUCCGGAAUUAUUGGGCGUAAAGAGCUCGUAGGCGGCUUGUCACGUCGGUUGUGAAAGCCCGGGGCUUAACCCCGGGUCUGCAGUCGAUACGGGCAGGCUAGAGUUCGGUAGGGGAGAUCGGAAUUCCUGGUGUAGCGGUGAAAUGCGCAGAUAUCAGGAGGAACACCGGUGGCGAAGGCGGAUCUCUGGGCCGAUACUGACGCUGAGGAGCGAAAGCGUGGGGAGCGAACAGGAUUAGAUACCCUGGUAGUCCACGCCGUAAACGGUGGGCACUAGUGUGGGCAACAUUCCACGUUGUCCGUGCCGCAGCUAACGCAUUAAGUGCCCCGCCUGGGGAGUACGGCCGCAAGGCUAAAACUCAAAGGAAUCGACGGGGGCCCGCACAAGCGGCGGAGCAUGUGGCUUAAUUCGACGCAACGCGAAGAACCUUACCAUGCUGACAUACACCGGAAAGCAUCAGAGAUGUGCCCCCCUUGUGGUCGGUGUACCAGGUGGUGCAUGG